UUCAAGGUGAGGCUGCACCAGUGCUAAAUAUAGGUGGGAGAAUCACCUACUGUGAUCAGCUGGCCAUGCUGUGGGCGUUCUGGUGGAUGAAAAGCUGGACGUGAGGCAGCAGUGUGCACUUGCAGCCUGGGAGGCCAACAGUGUCCUGGGCUGCAUCAACAGAGGGGUGGCAGCAGGGAGAGGGAGGGGAUUGUGCCCCUCUGCUCUGCCCUGGGGAAUGCCACUAGUGACCGUCCACCAGCCGGCUGUAACCCCAUCCACUACAAGCCUUUGAGCUCUGAUAUCAAACCUGUUUGUCACCCAACGCAGCAUGAUCAUGCUCAUCUUGCAGUAGAGCAAUUUGUCCAGAAGGAUACUGUGAGGAACAGUAUCAAAAGGCCUUUCAAAAAUCCAGAAGGAUUACAUCCACUUCCUUCCCUUCGUUCACCAAGUGGGUGACCUUCACAUGGGAGAUAAGUCACUGAAGACGUUCCCUUUUUGAAUCCAUGCUGACUAUGCCUGAUAACAGCUUUGUUCUCUAAACGCCUUUCAACAGAACCAAGGAUUAUCUUCUCCAUAAUUCUUCCAGGUACUGAGGUUGGACUGACAGGGCUGUAGUUUUGUGAGUCAUUUCUUGUGCCCCUAUGGAUGAGUGUAAGACCUUUGGAAAGCUGCUGAGAGGGAUCCAGCUAUAACGUCUGCUAAUUUCUUCUCUGAAUGAGAUUUCCAGAUGUACUCAACAUUAGAAAAUGUUUGUGAUGGUGAAAAUUCGAGUUUAUGGUAUAUGAGUGCACAUAUACAUUAAAAAUAUGAUUUUGUGUAUGUGACAAUAUAACACUGAUUUUAAUGGAAAAUCAUACAUCUUGAGUACACUGUCAUUACAGCAUUUAAAACUGCCUGUUUCAGUGUGUUUGUUGUUUGCACGUAAUGGCAUGCUCUUCUAAGUGACGAAGGCUAACUUUUUUUUUUUUAUGAAAGCAAAAUAAAGCCUUUUAUUACUUUCCAUCUCCCUGCCCCAACAGCCAGAAAUGAAUUGAAUUUCUCAGAACUCAGAGGAUUCUUUUGUUUCCUUUAGGCUAAGAGCAAGCAUGAAAGAUGUCAAGUGAGGGCUGAUGCUAUAUGCUCAAAGGGGCUGGGAUGUUUCCAGGCACGGUGAGUUCCUGCACGCUCAAGGGAACAUGCUGAAGAAAGCUAGCAGUGAGGUAGGACAGUUCCUUUCUCUCCGCUUUUCUGUAUGACUGGAUAAAUACAAACAAGAACCAAGUGAGCGAAUUAUUCUGGCCUAAUUUGGACAAGCACUUUAAGCAGUAACAGGUUCUCUAUGAAGUCAGUCAAAACCUGCAUGCUUGACAUCUUUAUGUUGUGUUGCCAAGAUCUUAUCCGAUUUCUGAACACGUAAGAACUCCACUGCUGGGUCGGUCUCUUUUCUGUUCUCCUCCCCCUAGAGUAUACUUUUAGGGCUGUGGGGCUACUUCAUUCAAAGUUAGAGUUCAAGAUCACAAGUAAUAAGGCCCAAGUUUUGAAUCCUCAACUCUUGCAGGUUCAAAAUUUAUCAGAGGCAACAGGCAUGGUGUAGGACUGACAAUUGUGCUUUCCACAUAAAACAAGGCAAAAGCCUUGUAGUAGGCAGAGAUAAAAAGCAGUUCCUCAAAGACCAGAAGAUAAUGAAUAAAUGUACCUCAUCCCCUUGCAUCACCCUAAAGGCAGUAUAAAGUUUGCCAGUGAGAAUCCAACCAAACAUGAGUCGGAAACCUCGUCUCAUUAUUUGUACAGAUACUUACUGAGAUAAAAGAGAUCAUAAAGCACUUUGAGGUCUGCAAACUGCCUGAUGCUGCAGCAAGAGCAAUCCUUUCCUACCAUCUCCUGUGUGACUUGGAAGGCUCUCAGCAAGCCCAGCUGUGCUUAGCUCUAUAAAAAGCAGUCAGGAGCAGCAUAUUUAGAGAAAAACCAGCAUGUGCUACCAUUGUCAAGAGCUGAUUAAGUUUUUUUGUUUCCCUUAGAGCAUUUCAGAAGACCAAAGUAUUUUUUUUCGUGGAGAAAAAAAAAUGAAAUGAGAAACCACAACUUUGGGAUCUCCAAAGGCAACUGAAAAUUUGGAUGAUGCCGGGCUAUGGGAUGGAAUAAGCUGCUCUUUCUACACAUGGAUAUGUUCUGGGAAGAAAGGUGACUUUUUCUCCUUACGCGUCACCAAAGACUCACCCUGAUUUGGGGUUGUCAGGUACUGGGGAGAAAUGCAAUUUAUUCUGAAGAUGAGACAGUCUCUCUUGGGUUUUAUAACUUUCUGCGCUAGUAGAGUUGGUUACUAUGUGUACCAUUAUCUCCUUCUUUGGCAGACAAAGAUUGCAGAAGAUGACAACAAUAAUUUAGAUAGCUUAACAUUAAAAAAAAAAAAAAGCUUUUCUAGAUCCUAAUUUACUUGUUAAUUAUUAAACUUCAACCCUGCAGAGUGAUAUUUUCCAUUCCAGAGGUUUGUUUCAGAGUGGAGUGUCAAAAGUCAAAUGACAAAUGUUUUGCUGAAUCUGUAGUUAGGAAACUUGCUAUUUCUGCCAAUGUGAAAAAGACUCAGAGAGGAGGGAGGAUGAUGCCAUUGGCCUGGAGCAUGGAGGUGGCAGCAGGGUCAGUGGUCUGGCAAUAGCUGAACUGCAACUGAGGCAGUGGAAGCUGGACUAGAGGAGCCAGCACUGACUCUGAGGCUCUCCAUUUCUUUUCUGUUGGCCAGCAUGUGGCUCUGACAUAGAGUUUUGCCCUUCCUUGGGAUGUAGCCAUGUUGGCAGCCUUGGUGAUGCUGCAGAGCCUAGCAGUCCCAUGACACUGAGGGCCCUCUCCAGACACGGCCUAUGGUGUCCGUGUUGGCCCUGGGCAGCUUAGUGGAGGUGCCUUUAAAUCCCACAGGCCCUGGUGACAGCUAAUAUUUGGGCCAAUCUGGGAGGGCUGGGUGUUGGUCCACCUACAUCAGUCAUUUAUCAACUCAUGGGACGUGCCCACAGUGUGAGGGCCUGCACACGUGCAACCAUGUGGUUGUGGACUCUGAAGCCUGGGGCUUUCUUACCAAAAAGUGUGUGUAUUAAACAUGAGGCUGGUGUGUCCACGUGCAGAGCAGACAGGGUGCUUCAGGGCCAGUACUCUGAUGCUGUCUUUGAAGGUAGGUGACAUGGACAGCCUGACCUAGCUGUGGAUGUUGCUGUUCAUUGCAGAGGAGUUGGACUAGGUGGCCUUCAGAGGUCCUUUCCAACUCUAAAGAUUCUAUGAUUCUAUGACAAAUGAGUUUGUUCCUGGGUGAGCCUUGGGGCUGCUCUCCUGCAGCCCCAUGGAUGGAUCUUUGGAGGAUACAGGGCAACUACUUUAUUAGGUUCGGUGGUCUAUGUCUUCACCAUAGAUUUAAUGCUGUAGGAAAACAGAGAGAAGCCCCAGCAGUGGCUUUAACAGCCUGCACUGACCUGGGCCUGCCAGAAAGCCUGCAGUAAUGUUCCAUCCAGCGUCAGCAGCUCCACUCCUGAGAGGCACUGCGGUCCUCCAGACCUGCCCAGCUCUCUCUGAACUGACAUGACUCUAUGCUGAACCCUCGGGGUUGGUAAUAGCCAGCAGGACUUUAUUUAAUGACUGAAAAUACCACUCCUGCAAGGGAGAACCACCCAUACGCAUUCAGAGGUGCCUAUUGUGCCUUCAGGCAAAAUCCAAGGCAGCGCGAGCUGCACAUGUACCCUCAGUGACUAAAUAAGGGAGAAAGCUCUGCACAGGAGGGCUGCUCUGAAGAAGUGCUUUCACCGCUGAAAAUUGCAGUUCCUCAGGAAACAAAGUGGUAAGCACAUGAGUUAUAAAGGUCACAUGAAGCUCUCCAUAACAGACUCUGUGACAGGAGGUUGUAGCAAGGUGGCAGUCAGCCUCUUCUCCCAGGUAACAGUGAUAGGAUGAGAGAUAAUAACCUUAAGUUGCAGCAGGAGAGGUUCAGGUUGGAUAUUAGGAAACAUUUAUUUUCCAGAAGAGUGGUCAUGCAACGGAACAGGCUGCCCAGGGAUGUAGUGGAGUCACUGUCCCUGGAGGUGUCCCGGAACCGUGUGGAUGUGGCACUGAGAGACAUGGUCAGUGGGCAUGGUGGGGAUGGGUUGAGGCUGGACUUGGUGAUCUUAGAGUUCUUUUUCAACCUUAAUGGUUCUAUGAAUUCUAUGAUUCUAACAGUGUUCUCGAGAAUGGAAACUAAGAAAUAAAUGAGUGGCAAGAGUCCUACCUAAAGCGAAGGUCUUUACAAGUAUUACCCAGGGAAUUCCCCCUAAUUAUUGAACAUCACUCAGCUACUUGAGCCUUACAAUGGUGUUGCUGGAAUAAGCCUCAAAAACAAGAGCAAACUACUACUACGUGGUUUUCUGAGUCUUGCAAAUGAAGUUUCACAGUCCCAGUGCUGAGAUUCAUCUUAUAAUGCUUUGGCAUGCCUUCUACUAUCUAGAUACUUGUGCUCCAUCUAGUGAAUAAAUUUAUUGCUCAUCCUGGAUCAGCUUUGGCUGUGGAGAGGUCCUGGGGAAAAGAAAUGCAAUUUAUGAAUUUGACCUAUGCAAAAAUGGGAAUUACCCAGGAAGAUUCUAAGUCCGAUUUUACUGGAAGGGUAAGAAUGACAGUGAUUGUAGCUUCCAGCUGCUCAUUGACAUGUCUUUAAAUUCUUCUUAGAAGACUUGAGGGUUUUUCUUAAUGAAGUUUCCCAUGAAAAUCUAUUUGUUUUUAUAUUCAGUGGGCGGAUUUACUUGUUAUGUGAAGCAAAUGAAGGGGAAGAGGUAAAAUGAGAAAAGCUGGUUCAAGUACAUUAACUGUAUCUGUUACAACCCAUUUUUACUGUUCUUGUUCAGCAGCCAAAACACAUUCCUCUUUUAUAAAAGAAGGAACACAGGGGCACCAGCUCACAGAUCUUUAAUGCAAUAAAGUUGUCUGGAGAUGUAUGUGAGGGGCCCCAUGCUGCUGGGCACUGAUGAGAGAAGAGGAGAGACUCAGAGUGCCAGCAUGGAGACACUCCAGACCUGCUCUGGUGUCUGCUGAAGACCCUAAGAGACUCAGAGAGGUCUGGGUUUUCUCCUUCCUUCUUCCUUCCUGCUGUCCUUCUGCCUCUCAGACUGCCUUGCCUAACCUUUGCCAGACAUAUCUUAGAAUCACAGAAUUGUUUGAGUUGGAAUGGACCCUUAAAGGCCAUCUGAUUCAAAGCCCUGCAGUGAAGAGGGACACCCACAGGUAGAUCAGGUUGCUCAGAGCCUCAUCCAGCCUGACCUUGAGUCUCCAGGGAUGGGGCAUCCACCACCUCUCUGGGCAACCUCUUCCAGUACCUCACCACUCUUACUGUAAAAAACUUUGCCCUUAUAUCCAAUCUAAAUCUCCCCUCUCUUAGUCUGAAACCACUUCCCCUUGUUAUAGCACAGCAGACCUUGCUAAAGAAUCUGCCCCCUUCCUUCUUAAAGCCUCCCUUUAGAUACUGAAAGGCCACUGGCAGGUCUCCCUGGAACCUUCUCUUCUCCAGGCUGAACAGUGUGGUAUCUCAUGCCAUGUUCCACCUUUUCUUUUUCUCUGUUUCCAUAUUGAAACUGUGAGCGGGAAGUCGACACAAGGGGCCAUGAAAAGAAAGGCCAUGGUAUUUUUUGCUGAGAAUGUGUUUUUGGGGUCCUGUUUGAUACUCAUGAAAGAAAAUUGCUCUUUUCAGUUUUCCAACUCUGGGCCAGACCCAGGGGCUAGCAGACCCCAUAGUUGUACCCCACAGCCUGAUCUGCACCGGACACCUUCCUCUUGCUGCCGCUUUUGUCUUAAACCAGGCUCCCGUGUCAUGGUCCUGCUGGGUGUUGAAGCCUUCUAUCUGCCCCAAUGGCCCAGGAUGAUGGCCAUGGUUGGUGAGGUGGCUGGUGGUUGCCCAAAAGUGCUGUGGGGCUCACCCUCCGCCACCUCUCUCCUUAGCCCCUGGCCAUGCACGAUCAGACUGGAAGCAGCACAACUGAGAGCCAUUUGCUCUGUCUGAGUGUGCACGUGUUUUACGGAGUGGUGACAACAUGAUGUACACAUUUCAACCAGAUGUGAUGGCUGUGUAGCAUAGUAGCACCAGGGACGCUCGACUGCGCAGUAAGUGCCAUUUUCUUUGGGUAGAAGUAUCCUGAUUUUAUUUGAAAACUCCUGUUAUUACUUCUGAGUUUGCUUAAGCUCAUGUAAAAGAUAUAUAUAUGCACCAUAUAUUAAAAAAAAACACACACAAAAAACUUUUGCAAGUGUGCAGCUUAAAUACAUAGGGCUUCCAUGGCUGAUGGGAUUUCUGCUUUCAAGUGAAAAAAUAAUAAUUAAAAAACAGACUUUUAUUUUGAAAAGGGAUUUAUUAAGGAAAAUUCCCUUCUCCUAAAAAGAAGCACAGAAAGAUAUCAGUCUUGUUUUGUGUAUCUUAUGGCCAAAGUUAUAUAGGACUUACAGAGACUAGCUGACUGCUUUUGCAGGGCAUCUGCUGCUCUGUUUAUUGGUCUGGCAAUAAAUGCCAUAAUAACAAUAUCUGUGUGGUGUUCUGUGCUGUUAAAUAUCCUCAGAGCAAUUAUUUUCCUCGGUACCACUUUCCCAUUUUUUUGAACAAUAAGAAUUUGUGUUAUGAAUUCCAGGGGCUGGAAGCAGUGGCACAGGAAGUCUGGUCCCAUAUUUACCUUUCCCUGCAGCUAUGUCCUGGGGUAAGGAGGAUGGAGCUGGGCCACUGCUGGCAUGGGAGACUCCCUGGGCACACUGAGCUGAAGGAAACAAGUCAGUCCAGGGCACAGUUUUGUGCCUUCUUUAUCUCUAUUGACUCUAACUGGGUGCUAAAACCCUGCUUUCCAUAGCAGAGAUGAAAAUAAGAUCUUGACAAUAAAUGCUGUAUGAUGACAAUCAUGCUGUAUGAUGACAAUAAAUGCCUUUUUGUGCCUACCCUAAGUCAAGUCUCAGGUCAGGCUGUUGGUUUCUCCUGCUCACAGCUUUAGACUGACACUGCUUCUUGGAUUCUUCCAUUCUAGACAGUUUUUGUUAUUAGUUGCUGUUAGGUUACUUGACAGCUCUGUCCAUGAGGCGGCUUAGUUCAUUUGUCAGCAAUACCGUCCUUAUGGACAUUACAGUGGAAAAAAAAGUAGGUCAUUACUUACAAUUUCUAAGGAUCACGGGUUUUUCACUUAAUUCUGUGGUUUGGUGGCUUGCACAACCUUCACAGCGCACAGUGAAAACAUUAUGCUCUUACUGUAUGUGUCCCCCAUGUAAAUGAGCCUGAUGGAGGAGUCCCAUAAUCUUACCUAUGGGCUUUCAUGAACUCCAUGGUCUUUAGUGCUGACAUUAAGAACUCUGCACUUGCACUCCUGAUCUAGCGAGCAGAAUUGCAUUUGCAGGUAAAAAGAUAAAAGUCAGAAAUCUACCUAAAGGAAAUCAGAAAAUCUGCUCAGGAUCUACAUCUCUGGGAUAAGGAAUCAAUAGGGAAAAACAGACAGAAGGAAAUACAUGUGGGGAAAAGUUUGAGAUGAAUCAGAAAUUGUGGAAAUCUGCCUAUGAAAUGUUAUUUUUACUAUGACGCAAUGCUAAAUGCAUUCAGACUGCAAAAGACAGGCAGCUUAAAAUGGAGUACAGGAGCUGACCACUGAUUUUUUUUGACCCCAUGGAAGAACAAUGAAGAUGCUUUGGGGAAGAACAGCAAGGAGAAGCCCUCAAAGGAGAAGCCUUAAAAUUAUCUGACUGCCUGAGCCUUCUCUUGAAGCACAGGAGCUGGUGUAGAGCCCAUGAAGAUCUGUGCCACUCCUGAUCACUGCUGGCUCUGGCUGGUGCUUGAAUACUUGUAAUAGGGUCUAGACAAAGGUUAGAGAUGCUCGGAUUGGUAAGCUGUGCCAGGAGAGGAUUAGCUGGGUGUUAGGAAAAGUUCUUGAUCAGAGUGUGGUUGGGUUCUGGAACAGGCUUCCCAGGGCCGUGGUCGUGACCCCAAGCUGCUGGAGUUCUUGGACAGUGCCCUCAGACAUAAGUGUUGAAUUUUGUGUGUUGCUGUGUGGAGCCAGAAGUUGGACUCACUGAUCCUUGUGGCUCCCUUCAAGCUUGGGACAUCGUGGAAUCAUAGAAUGGCUUGACUUGGAAGGGACUCCAAGGAUCAUCAAGUUCCAACCCUCCUGCCACAGGCAGGGGCACCAACCUCCAAAUCUGGCACUCAACCAGGCUGCCCAGGGCCCCAUCCAACCUGGACUUGAACACCUCCAGGGAUGGGGCAUCCACAGCUUCUCUGGGCAGCCUCUUCCAGCACCUUACCACCCUCUAUGAAGAACUUUCUCCUGACAUCCAAUCUAAGCCUUCCCUCCUUGAGCUUAAAACCAUUCCCCCUUGUCCUAUCACUGUCUUAAUAUGCUAUAUUAUAUGUAUAUGCUAUGAUUCUGGGUUUCUAAGGAAAAGGAACAAUAGAACAGGACUGAGAACUGCUUUUAAGAGGUAGAAAACUUUCCUCGAAUCUUUUGGUAUUUAAUGCUUCAGUUUACCUAACAGAUAACCAGGCAUUUCCUGCUGUGAACACAACCAAAAGUUUUAGCUGUGCCUGGGAAAAUGUGGGUGAAUUAAAGAAGCUCAAGUGGUUCCUUGACAAAAGCACUGAGGAAGAUAAAUUACAAGAGAAGGCUGGUGAAUUUACAGAGCUCCUGGGGAGAAGAAAGCAAGAUGUUAUGUCUGGGGUGACAGCUACCGAGCAGACUUUCGAGGUGGCUAAUGUACCAGAGAGCAAGCCAUUUAUCAAAAGCAAAAGAGAUUGACUGUGAAGCUUUUUAAACAUACCACUGCUUCCUGAAAAAAAAAAUUAACCUGUCAUCAGAUGAGUUUUCUUGAACCUCUGGUCCUUUGAAGGUUUUAUGUUGGAGGACAUUCACUUCCCUUGACAUAGUCAGAUGACCCUGGGAUCAAAUCUGCCCUGUAGACUAGUCAAGAACAUUUUCACUGCUAUUUUCCUUGGGAAUGGAAGUGCUGAGAGGCUGUUCAUAUGGUGUCUUCUGCUUGGGCUAGACUGAAAAUAUCAGAUAUUUAGGAAAAAUAAAAAUAAUUCAGGAAGAGAUAAUAGGUCAGAUGUCCUGAAAUGCAAGUCCUGCUGGGGGGAACUGAAUCAGGACACAUUCCUCUUGCCAUGAAACAUCUGAGAGAAUCUUUGCAGACCACAAGCUCCAUCUUUACUGUCAUGUGAAAGACCCAGCCUCUGGCCACAAGAAGCAAUCCAGUCUUCUGAUCCAGACUGCCUGGGAAUCACUGCCAGUAGCUCUGCCAGGGCUUGGUUUCCCUUGGGAGACCUCUCAGCUGGGCUCCGUCCUGCUCUCUCUGACCGUGGCUGAGAUGACAAACUCACAGCCCAAACUGUCUACGACAAACGGGUUGUUGGCAGAAUCCUGUUUCAUUCAGUGUGCUUAAAAAAAUAAAUAAAAGAAGAAAGAAACCCAUGUAUUUUGAUUUUCUCCUUUAGUAUCCUAAACAUUCCUUUUAUGAAGACUAGAUAUCUAAAGACAUUUCCUUAUAAGUUCAAAGAAACUUUAUGGAGUCUGCAUGUGAUCUGCGUUGUGAAAAAAACUGCUUUUUCUUAAAAUACUGUCAGGAGGGAAAAUGCCCAGCAAGCUGACUCUGGAAAUGACUGAUGCCAAGUGCCUCCUCCUCCAGCCUGCACGGCCACCACUGCAGACAAAACUGUCCAUGCUGUGGUUCAUAUUCAUACUUACUCAUAUGUUGGAUAUUCUGAUCUGAGGCUUAUAUUUCAAUUUCUUUUCAGGAACAACAUGACUGGAACCCAAAGUGUCUGGGAAUUCAAAGACUAUAACAACACCUCUGAAUAUACAGGGCUGAGGAAGCAGAAUUCCUUCAUAUUAGCAAAAUCAGCUCAGUAACACCCUUUCUUCAAGUUACUUGACCAUCUCUCUCUUUCCUGGCUGGAUCUUGGCCCAGUGUUGGAAGUGGCCUCAUCUCCAGCCCCAUUUCAAUCUCCUGGUUCUCCUGAUGGGACCUCUUGCAUGGACCUGAACUUUGUUGAUCUCUUGCUCUGUCUGGGGCUGUUGAUGGAUCCCAUUACCAGCCCCUAGCCCUGCCCACAGUUUUAGCCCCCUUGGGAGGGCACAGCCCGCAUGGGGCUGGCUCCAGGCUCAUCCCCACUUUGGAAGCAGCCCCAAGCUUGUUGCCCCCUGAGAUCAAAUUAGUGCCAGGAUGAUCGUUUAGAACAUUAAGAGCUAAUAUUAUUGGUACUUGGUUUUUAUGCUUGAGAACAUACAGUGGAUGGUUUUAUUCUUCCACACUGUUUCUAAAAUAUUAAACUUGAUUAUGCAUUUUUAUUCAAAUGUUUUACUUGUUCGAAAAACUGAACAGUGCAAUUAGGCUCAGGAUAUUUGAAAGCAGUAGAAAAGUACAAAUACUACUGGCAGCCUUUUGUUGUUAUUUUUGCAAUUUAUUUAAUUAGUAACUAAAUUUAAAUACAAUUUUCCAACUCUGUUUUUUUAAUCUAAAUCGUUAAUGUUCUCCAGAUCCGCUCCAGGUUCACUAGACUGGGUAGAAAUUAAGGCAUUAUUUUGAUCCAGGGGAAAAUGCCAUGCCGAUUUAGGGCAUUCGUUAUCUACUUCCUUUUGCUCUUUUAUUUUUAGCUAUAUUUUGCAUUGCAUUUCUGUGUAUGUGUGCGUGUGUAUUUUAAAAUUAUUUUAGAAUUUUAAUUUUUAUGUGGCAUUGAUUCUUGGCACUGAAGUUAAAGGCUGGAGUUGAGCAAGCUAUGAAAUUACUGCAUCAGCACAACCACUUGAAAGUCUCUGCCAUGUACUCAGCUCUGCAUUUGCCAAAGCUCUCUUCAAACUCUCUACAGGAUCCUACAAAAUAUGUUCAUCAGCUGGGCAGGAGGGAGAAAGGAAGGGUGUGGUGAGAAUACCACUCCCUCAUUUGCCUGGCUAGCUGUGGUCCAGAGCUUCCUUACUGAAAUGCAAAGAGUUCAAAACUGUUCCCUGUAAGGGAAAUUGAAAGGUAGAGUCAUGAUAACUAAACAUGAAAAGCAAAAAAUGUUCUUUUCAGUAUGUUCUAGACCAAAGGAGCCCCCUGCAAGAAAUCUAUUUUACUAAGGUGAAGUGCAGAAGGAAUGAUUGCUGCUGCUUUGUUCAGGCAUGGGCUUCCCUCCAUGCUGCCUAACAAGGGCAAGUUUCUGGCUGGGAGAGAAACAUGCAGGGAAAGUCUACAUGCAUUGGAAAGGGAGAUCCUUGCAUUUCCCAGCUGGACUCUCUGUGCUUUGGGAAGACAUUCCAAUCAUCCUUAAAGCUGCGAUGUUCUUGUUUCAAGAAGAUGUUGUAAGUCCCAGGCAAAGGUGUCUCAGCUGAGUGCCUUUGCUUAUGUUGAUGUACCCUUCUCAGGUAAGACCCAUGAUCACUAGUUGUUUUCACAGCAAAAUGAAGGCCUGCUUGUAGCUCUAGUGGUCCCCAUGAGACAUAACCAUGGCACAGGAUGGAAGCCUGAGCUGUAUCUGUUCUUCUGGGGGAUUACAACAGAGGGUAGUCUUUGUGCACCAGGAGCCACAGACUGCUGUCUGGACCUCACUGCUCUGGUCAGGCCAUUGCCAACUCACUGUCCUGGAUGACUACACAGGCAGAAGAACCAUAACUCUUGUGGGUUCCACCAGAAAAUGAUGAUCAGAGGGCUGGAGCACCUCUCCUAUGAAGGAAGGUUGAGGGAACUGGGCUUGUUUAGGUUAGAGAAGAGAAGGCUCCGGGGAGACAUCAUUGUGGCCUUCCAGUACUUGAAGGGAGUGUAUAAACAGGAGGGGGAAUGGCUGUUUACAAGAGUGGAUAGUGAUAGGACAAGGGGGAAUGGUUUUAAACUGAGACAGGAGGUUUAGGUUAGGUAUUAGGAGGAAGUUUUUCACAAAGAGGGUGGUGAUGCACUAGAACAGGUUGCCCAAGGAGGCUGUGGAUGCCCCAUCCCUGGAUGCAUUCAAGGCCCAGCUGGAUGUGACUCUGGGCAGCCUGGUCUGGUGGUUGGCGACCCUGCACAUAGCAUUGGAGUUGAAACUAGGUGAUCUUUGAGGUCCUUUUCAACCCAGACCAUUGUAUGAAAAAACUGAUGUGCAUGGGGAAAAUGACAACUGUGCUUCCCAAUUCCUUUCCAAUACAAACCAUGACACUCUUAUUGACCUGGAGCAGAGUACAGAGGGUGAGAAGCCCUGCUGGCACAGCAGGUUGCUGGCAACACAUGUUCACAGAAUGGGACUUCUUUCUUGAUAUUAAAUUAAUGCACAAUGAAGUAUUAUAGAUAUUCCUUCUACAUCUUAACCACACUUAGAGGGCUUGCAUUAUUAAUGCCAAAUAUAAUAAAAAUGUUUUCUAAUCUUGAUUGAGUUUCUGGUUCUCAUUUGCUCCCUGGCAUCCUAUGUUUCACUGCCUCUUUCCUUCCCCCAUGUUUGUAUUAUGGUUCUUCUUUGUGUCUUUGACUACAGACAUCUGGGCCCUGUCCCUUUCAAGGACUUCCUUCAGUUUUUCUUCUGUUCUGAUGAUUAAGAAAUGUAUUUUGAAUUUUUGCUCUUCCUUUCCUUUUUGAACAUAUUGGUUUAUUUAUUUAUUUAUGGAGGGACACUGGAGGAGUGUGGGGUUGGAUCCUUGGUUCUUCCUUUUGCUUUAAUUGUCUGUCCAUCAUCUCCUAUUACUUCCUCUUUCCUGUACUGUGGGAAUCUGCACUGCGCUAAAUACAACACAAUGUAGCUGAUGCCAGGUUGUAUUAUUCUGUGUCCUUUGCUUUUGGCUCACUGCAAGGCAGGAGAAUAACAUGAGCCUCACAGAUUAUUGGAUCCACAAAACUCUCAAAUGCAGCAAAUUAACUCAUGCAAAGUCCUGCAGUGCUGUGUCUAUACUUGCUUCUACCAAGAACAUGGAACAAGAAAUCAGAGGCUGAGAAAGAGGACAUCUGUAAAAUGUAAUGUGGCAAAUGGGUCCAGAUCUUUGUUGGGGGAAGUGGGAGGUGGUGAAGAAAAUACUAUGAUGAAAAAUGCCUUCUAAAAAUCCCAUGUCCUGCUACAGAUGCAGAUUAGUACAAACUGUUGUUUUUUCUUACUUUUUUUUUCUAGUGCUUGAUCUCAGAGAUUGUUCAAAUAUUUCAUUGUGGCAAUAAGCUUUGUAGGAA
ensembl:lncRNA